rnacentral:lncRNA from 1 species
AUUUUUAAAAAAUAACUAAUAUAGUCAGGCAGAAAAAACUAAUCCGCUUUAUUAAUUUUGAAAAUAUUUUUUUUUAGAGAUAGAUAGCACGCUACCCGUUUCGUUUAUUUUAUUUAGAAAUAAAUUUAGCUGGAAAUGUGAAUCAACUAGAAUUCGAACCUGGGUCUGGAGUACCAACCACCAAAUUCUUUGCCACUUGGUCUAGGGACGGUCAGUAAUUUUGAAAAUAUUACUUAAAGAAAAAUGCAAAGUU